rfam:Gossypium hirsutum cultivar TM-1 chromosome 26, whole genome shotgun sequence
UGUUAAAACUUCCAUCCAUUUCUACUGUUAAAAACUAGCAUUACCAGACAGUUACAUGUGACAGCAUGCCACAUUCACCUCAUGUUGAUGUAUAGAGCAGUUUUUAACAGUAAAAAUGGAUGGAAUUUUUAACA